GUGGGCAGAAUUCCUCUGCAUUGCAUAUAUGAGGAAUGACCAGAUCAAACAUGGCCUUCACAUUUAUUGGUAGCAAGACUUAGGCCCUGUUUGGCAACCAUCCAAACAGUGCCUGAUUCUGAUUUUUUGUUCCUAUAAUCAGUUUGGGAACAGAAUCGCGUUUGGUAAAUUUUUUGUCCAAAACUGAUUCUGGGAACAAAUUUACUCCCAGAAUCAGUUUUGGACAAGAAUUCAGAAUCAGAAAAAAUAUGAUUCUCCGUCCGAGAAUCAAAAAAGAGAAUCAAAAGUGCCGAAUCAAAAAAAAAAUUUGUUUCUAUAUUUUAUUUUUAUUUCUUCCUGGUAUGAAAUAUAUAUUUGUUGUAUAUAGAAUACAUAUUUAAUUUUAUGUUAUAAUUUAGUAUUUUUAUUUAUUACAUAUUGUAGGGAUAUUAGUAUAGUUUAUACUAUGGUUUAUUAUUUACUAUAUAAUAAAAAUUGAUUAGUUAAUAUUUUUAUUAAUUAGUAUAAAAAUAUAAUUAAUCAGUGAAUGGUUUAUGAAAAUUCAAUAUCAAAUUUAUUUUAAUCUAAAAAGGUAAUUAAAAAAGAAUUGGAAUAUAAAUUUUAUAUAGUUACCAAACGCGUUUCUAUUCUUUUUCUAUUCCGAAUCAGAAAUUUUAUUUGUUACCAAACGCGUUUUUUUUACUCAGAAUCAGUUCCUGGGAAUAGAAUUAGAAAUAAUCAUUUCUGGUCAGAAUUAGUUCCCGGGGACAGAAUCGUUACCAAACGCGCCCUUAGUGAUCCAUCCAAAAGUGUCAUGAGGAUAAAAAUAGACAUGAAUGACGUUCGCCACUUGACUAGAGAAUGAUCAUGUACUUUAAAGUUUGAUACGCAAUCAUCACAAAUUGGGGGGAAAAAAAGGUGCAUGGAAAGGGGUUGGAUUUUGGGCGAAUGAUGGCAAAUGACUUAGUGAGAGUAUUUCUAUCCAGCCGACUGUUUGGAAGUUGGGUGGUGAUGGCGAAUGGCUUGGCCAUAUUUUCGAGCUUGGCCUAUCGUUUUGACAUGUUAAGCAUGCGUGAAUGUUUCCUCUUGUGAGAUGCUGAUUUGAAU
rnacentral:lncRNA from 1 species